UACGUAGGGUGCAAGCGUUGCCCGGAUUUAUUGGGCGUAAAGAGCUUGUAGGCGGUCUGUCGCGUCUGCUGUGAAAAUCCGGGGCUCAACCCCGGACUUGCAGUGGGUACGGGCAGACUAGAGUGUGGUAGGGGAGACUGGAAUUCCUGGUGUAGCGGUGAAAUGCGCAGAUAUCAGGAGGAACACCGAUGGCGAAGGCAGGUCUCUGGGCCACUACUGACGCUGAGAAGCGAAAGCAUGGGGAGCGAACAGG
rnacentral:rRNA from 1 species